rnacentral:tRNA from 5 species
GGUGGGGUGGCCGAGUGGCGAGGCAGCGGCCUGCAAAGCCGUUAACGCGGGUUCGAUUCCCGUCCCCACCU